rnacentral:tRNA from 2 species
GGGCCUGUAGCUCAGUCGGUUAGAGCAGGGGACUCAUAAUCCCUUGGUCGUAGGUUCGAGUCCUACCGGGCCCA